rnacentral:rRNA from 1 species
UACAGAGGUCCCAAGCCGUUGUUCGGAUUCACUGGGCGUAAAGGGUGCGUAGGUGGCUUGGUAAGUUUGAUGUGAAAUCUCCGGGCUUAACCCGGAAAUGGCAUUGAAUACUAUUGAGCUGGAGGUUUGGAGGGGGACUGGAAUUCUCGGUGUAGCAGUGAAAUGCGUAGAUAUCGAGAGGAACACCAGUGGCGAAGGCGAGUCCCUGGACAACACCUGACACUGAGGCACGAAAGCUAGGGGAGCAAACAGG